rnacentral:piRNA from 1 species
UGUGAAUGAAAUCUGAUUCUCAAUGGGG